ACCUGAGAGGGUGAUCGGCCACACUGGAACUGAGACACGGUCCAGACUCCUACGGGAGGCAGCAGUAGGGAAUCUUCCGCAAUGGGCGAAAGCCUGACGGAGCAACGCCGCGUGAGUGAUGAAGGUCUUCGGAUCGUAAAACUCUGUUAUUAGGGAAGAACAAAUGUGUAAGUAACUAUGCACGUCUUGACGGUACCUAAUCAGAAAGCCACGGCUAACUACGUGCCAGCAGCCGCGGUAAUACGUAGGUGGCAAGCGUUAUCCGGAAUUAUUGGGCGUAAAGCGCGCGUAGGCGGUUUCUUAAGUCUGAUGUGAAAGCCCACGGCUCAACCGUGGAGGGUCAUUGGAAACUGGGAAACUUGAGUGCAGAAGAGGAAAGUGGAAUUCCAUGUGUAGCGGUGAAAUGCGCAGAGAUAUGGAGGAACACCAGUGGCGAAGCGACUUUCUGGUCUGUAACUGACGCUGAUGUGCGAAARCGUGGGGAUCAAACAGGAUUAGAUACCCUGG
rnacentral:rRNA from 1 species